AUCCAGUAAGCUGACGAGUCCCAAAUAGGACGAAAUUCGCAUCCUGGAU
rfam:Trichobilharzia regenti genome assembly, scaffold: TRE_scaffold0008564